rnacentral:ncRNA from 2 species
AUUUGUCUUCGGGGCAGGGUGAGAUUCCUGACCGGCAGUUAUAGCCUGCGAGCCGCAUUCAGCGGUUGAUCCGGUGUGAUCCCGGAGCCGACGGUAUAGUCCGGAUGGUAGAAGAUGACA